rnacentral:lncRNA from 1 species
CAUUAGAGUGGUUCAGCAUGAAUGUGUUCAUCCAUAGUAACCUGGGGGGAAUGGGGUCAAUCUCCCAUUUCAGGAUACUGUUUCAAUUUUUGUUUUUUGGUUGAUAACCUUUUUUUUUUUUUUUUUUUGGAAACUGGGAAAAUGUAGACGUUUGCUCUGCUAAAAGUGGAAAUUUAACAUAAACUUAACUUCUGACUUCAAAGAUUGCUGUAUGCCAAGUCUCAUUGUAUCUCCAUCGUUAACAGUAAUCCAGGAGGAGAAAGUCAUUAAACAUUUUAUGGUUUCCAAUUGCCGUCAAGAUACUAACAACUGACAUUGAUUGAGGACUUACUAUGUAACAGGCUCUUUUAUUGACACUACAUAUACUACACACACACAUAAAGGGGCAUAUAUAUAUAUACACAUAUAUACACAAAUACUGUACACUAUACACUUAAACACACUAUGUAUACUAAUGUAUGAUACCACUAUAUACUACUAUUACAUAUAAAUAUAUAAAUACAUAUAAUCAACCCCAGAGGGUAGGAACACUUUACAAAUAAAGAAACCAAGAUACAUAUAGUUUACAUUAAUCUACAUAACUAGUGAGUGAUGACGCUGGAGUUAAAACUAGGCAGUCUAAUCCUGGAGCCCAUAUGGGUUCGUGGCACAUUUGUGGCAUCCACACUGUGCUGAGCAUUGUGCCACAUGUGAAGGUUCAGAGAUGAAUAAGGCAUGCCGCUAUUCCUAAGUUCACAGUUGAUGGAGGAGAUAGGCACAUUAUUACAGUAAGGUGCAACAGUGCUGGCUGAGCUGGGUCUUGAUGAUUAGGAUUAUACAUCUUGGAACACAUCAGAACAAAGUAUUCCACCCCCAGGUGCAGUAUGUACAAAGGUAAGAAACAGCUGUAACAGUCAUGGAGUUUUAAUCGGGAUGAGCCCCUGCAGAGAAUCUGCAGAAUCUGGGGGAAGAGAGAGCAACAUGAAGCCAGAAGAAUUGACAGAGACAAUGCAGUGAAGAGCCUUGAAUGCUAGUUUGUACUUUUAUCCUAUGAGAAAUGCAGAGUUGGUGAAGGUUUGUAAGCUGGAGAUGGAGAUGAUGGGAUGUGUUGCAGAAGUAUCACCGUGAUAAUCUUGCAGAGGCUGGCCCUAGAGUAUGAGAUGUAAAGUUGCCCACAUGAGAAGCAGCUCCCACUUCUAUUCCACGCCUGCAAUUCAACAUGUCUUCUCUUAGGAUUUUUAUUUGGGGCUAUAUUUAAAUCACUCAUGUUUUCUCUAUCCAUGCACAUUUCUCUGUCCUACAUAAGCUGUAAUUUAAUUCAGACCAUGCCAAAUAUACCCUCCAGGUUUGGUAAACAUCUAUCUAGCUAUUUGCUUGAUGGGGCAACUUACAAGCAAUAAAUAAUUUUAUGUGUGUUAAUUCAAUAAUUUAUGCAUUCAUUAACUCAUAAAACAUUAUUGAACACCUAUUCUGUGUCAGGCCCUAUGCUAGGACUUGCGAGUGAAUGUGAUAGACAUAGUCGCUGCUGUGAAAACGCUCACUCGCAGCCUCCUUGGUGAUGCAGGCAGGCAAAUAAAUAACUCAUCUCAAUCCAAUAGGAGAGCUGUAAUGCAAGCGUGUGCAGAACACUGGAGAAACAGAGCAGAGAGGGUGAUGGGUUUUGCCUGGAGAGGCAUGAUGAAGGGCUUCAUAAAGAAGGUGAUGGUUGAGCUGUGCUUAAGGGAUGAGCAAAAGUUCCAGGGCUGUAGUAUGGGAGACAGGCCUUUUAGGAAGAGGGAACACUGUGAAAAAGAGCACAGAGUCCUGAAGUGGCUUCUGUAGGUAUGCGUGUCAUGCAUGGGUAGGCAAAAGCAUUAGAUUACCAGGCAAAAGCCUGGUAAGGGAGGAUGGGCUCAGAUCAUAAAAGGCCUUGAAUGUCUUCCUAAGAAGUUUAUUUUUGUCCAGUAAGCAAUGGAACCAUGGAAAUAUUUCCUUAAAAAAUGAUUCUGUCUGCAGGGUUGAAAAAUGUCUCAGAAGAGAAGCAGUUACUGAAGAUAAGACAAUCAGCUAGACAUUUACAAGGAUCCAGAAGCAAGGUGAUAAGUCUGAACCAGAGAGAUGGAAAUGGAUUCAAGAGACAUUAUUGGAUAAGAGUUGACAACAUUUGUUGACAGAAUGGAUAUAUACUUCUGUGCUUUCACCAUACAUGCUUUGGGUGUACAAAAUGUGCAUAAGCUCUCUAAAUGCAUGAGCAAGGACACAUAAUUCAAUGAAUAGAUCACCAACGAUUACAAAUAAACAGCAUUAAGGUGCUAGGGGAAGAAAAAUCUCUUCUGGAUUCUGAGUCAGCAGUGCAUGGGCUGGGGUUCUAGCACCGCUGCUUAGUAACUCUGUGGACAUCAGACAAGUCCCUUCUCCUCUCUGAGUCUCUCUUGUCUCUCAAAUGGAGGGGCUGGCUGAGAUGAUUUAACUCCAAGGCCCCCUCCAGCUGUCACACUCUGUGAGUCAAACACUUGUGAUAAGGGGCCAUCAACGCUGGCCUUUCCCAAGCUGAGUCACCUCUGAAGCAGGGAUUAUUCUGGGGGCUGACCAAGAAAUGUGCAUCCAGUCACUGCAGUGACAUCCCCAGUUUUAUUCUCCAGAGUUAGGGUCCAGUAGGUCUGAUCUGAGGCUGGGGCAGCUCCUUGAUUACUCGUUCUUCUCCAAGCUUCUGCACCUCAAGUGCUCACCCAGAUGGGGGGCCAUAAGACCCUGCCUGGGCUUCUACAGAAGAAAGAGCCCUCUCCCAUAGGCAUUCAGGUCUCUGGAUUUCUCAGAGUCUGUUUUUCCUGUUUGUGUUAAUUUUCACAGCCAGUUAUCCUAUUUACAUUUUUCUAAAGCUGUUCACAGGACUUGUUGUCAGUUAUCCUAUUUACAUUGUUUUAAAGCUGUUCACAGGACUUGUCAGUUAUCCUAUUUACAUUGUUCUAAAGCUGUUUACAGGACUUGUCCACAAGAAUUCAACGUUCUUAAGUGGCUUUCGCUGACUUCCUCUUCCCCAAGCACAGCUGGGAAUCCCCUUCCCUCAGACAGCAGCAAGCCUUCCUUCUCAGGUCACCAAUGCAGGGCUCCAUCUCUGCCUAUUUCUAGUCACCUAACUCAUAGUGAGCACCCACUGUGCGUCAUUGAGCACUUCUGCAAGUCAAGGGUUUCAUGCAGCCACUCCACCAGGUGGAUGUGACUUCCCCAUUUUAAUGAUGUGGAAAGUGAGGUUUGGUGAAGAAAAUGUGCCUUAUCAAAGGCUGAGCUUCUAGGAUGUGGCCAAGCCAGGAUUCAAACUGAGGUCUGUCUGAGUUCCGGUCUGCUGCAUUCUCCUUCCUGUGACCAGAGUUAAGCUCUAUUAAAUGACAGACUGCACAAAUAUGAACUAUCUGCAAAGCCUCCAAGCAGAUCUGCCAUCCUUUUCUACCCAAGGAAGACAUAGUCCAGGUUUACUUUAGGCCAAGAUACCAAAAGAGGAAACAGGCCAUAACUCCCCUAACCAAGUGCACUCAUGUUAGACAUCAGAUUCUUUCCAAUGUUUCCUGAUAAAUGUGUAAUUUACUGCUAUCAGUUGGUAUUGUAUAGCAAUUAAAAUGAAGAAACCCUGUGAAUCAGUUUGCCUGGCCUUGAAUUCCCUUUAUAAUAUAGUAGCCAAGUAACCUUGGCCAAAUUACUGAGACUCUCUAAGCCUCAGCUUCCCAUGUAUAAAUGGGGAUGAGAAUAAUACUUACCUCAUAGUGUUAUGAGGAGCAAAUAAGAUGAUGCAUGGAAAGCACUUAAAACAGACUCUGGCAUAUGGUGUGAGCUCGAUAAAUCCCAGCUAUUAUUAUUAUCAUAAUAUCUGUGCAUAAAUCUAUCUGCAACUCUAAUUGUUUUCUUAGGACAGAUUCCAACAAGUAAAAUCACUGUAUCAAAGGGUGGCUCCUCAUACAUAGUGCUUAAUUAUCCUCCAGAAAUUUUAGAGCGAUUUAUAUACCCAAUAGCAGAGCCUGCAGGAGUAAAUGCAACAUCCUUCAUAGCAAUAGACUCAAAAGAUAUAUCAAAUGCAGAUGACUGUGAUACUACAAAAGAUGUUUGAAUAUCCUGCGGUUUUCAUGUAUAUGGGUAUAAACUUUCUCUUUUUAAUGCCCUUUCAGUCAUGGAAAGAACCAAGGCCCUGCUGGUCAUCCCAAAGGCCUUUGAUUUAAGAGAAAAGAGUUCAAUUCCAGGUUCUUAUGAGCUGUGAGAUUUUAAGCUGGUUCAUUCCUCUCUUGUUGCUCAAAAAAAAAAAGUUUUUUUUAAACAGGAAUUAUAUAUGGGCAGUAUCUUCCUGUCAUACUUGUUGUACCUACAUAUGCAGAGUAAAUGUGACUAUCCCUGGUGAUAAUAACUGUCAAUAUUUUUCUUUUUACAUUUUUCUAUUAAUGCAUUGCAAUUGUGAUUGUUCAUAUUAUUAUAGAUAUUUAUUAAUAUAGCUAUUCAUAUGCUCAUGUCCAGUGUAGUUCAACUCCAACUCUACCAAAAUCUUGCCAUGUGACCAAGGGUUAGUGACUUCACCAUUUUGGGUCUCUUUUUUUAAUAACAUUGAGGGGCUUGAUCCAGAUGAUCUCCAGUGUCCAUGUUUCUCUCAUCUUGCCUUUCCAUUUUUCAGGGUUUCUCAACUUCAACACUACUGACAUGAUCUGAUUCAGAUAAUUCUGUUUUGUGCUGAAGGGAAUGGGGUGGGGUGUGGCUGUCCUGAGCACUGCAGGAGUUUUAGCUGCAUCCCUGGUCUCUACUACCCACAGGCGUCCGGCCCAAGUUGUGACAACUGAAAAUACCUUCAGACAUCACCAAAUGUUCCCAGAGGGUCAAAAUCAUCCCCGGUUAAUAAUCUGCCAUAUGCUUAAGGGUGUCAGGCUUUGAGCGUUAAAGAUUUGAUUUAGAAGGGCUUUAAUAUAUCUUCCAAUCACAGAAUUCCAAAUGACCAUGAUGCCGUGACUGAUUUGAACUUACACUCAUGCACAUGAUACGUAUUUGGGAGAAGCCCUUGUCAUCUCCAGUGUCUCUUCCACCUCUUGAUUUCCACAGGGAUAGUCAUCUACAUCUUUGCUAGAGGUGACAGCUGAAAUAUCCAAACCAUGGGCUUGGGGUCCAUCUGACCUAGUCACCAGUCAGGUGCCUCUGGGGAAAUUCUUUAGUUUUUCUAAUCUUUUUUUCACUUGUGAAAUCUGGAUGACACCUCAGAGCCACUCGAGGAUGACAAAAUGUGACAAGCACAAGUGUACCUAGUACCAAGGAUGAGGACGAAUCCAUUUGAGGGAAGCUGUUGCUUUCAUUGUUUCCUAUUGAAUAUGAUUACCACUCCAUUAUUUCCCAGCCAUAGCCUCGGGGUUUGGACCAAGUUUUCUUUUGACUUAGGUGUUUCCAGUCAGAGUCAAAGAGAAACUCCUAAGGAAUGGAGAGGACAAAUGGUCCCGUUAGCAGUCAGAGGAAUGCUGUGGACUAAGAGAGUGACUUUGGUUCCAGCUGAAAUGUCAGCAGAGCGCUGGGAGAAAAGAAUCUGUUUAGCAGGUGUGUUUGGAAUCUGGCAGAGAGAGCUGGGUCAGGUCCAGGACCACUGAGCUGUUCUGAAUGCCUUCUAUGUUGACUCUCUGGGACUGAGACUCAGGAGUUAAAGGAGAGAACGUCUAAGGUAAACACACAACAGCCAGACAGUGGCUAGAAUUUUUCCUCAGGCUUUCUGUGUCUCUUGCAGAACACCAAGAGGCCGGCAACAUGAGUGUGGCCUGAGUCUGACGCCUUCGCCCACCCUCUUCCAGAUCACCUGAUCCGAAAGAAGUUACGAAAAUAGCUCAGAAUCUGGGCCUGCCUAGGCUGUGCUGCCGCGAAGUUUCAAGGACAGCCCUCAUUACUUCAGCCAAGCUCUUUCUCAUGAUUUACUUUCUUUCCAUCCCUCCGCUUCUCACCUUAUUCAAUAUAUUGAUGACCUUUUUCUUUGUAGCCCCUCCUUUGAAUCUUCUCAACAAGACACACUUCUGCUCCUUCAGCAUUUAUUCUCUGAAGGAUAUCAAGUAUCCCCCUCCAAAGCUCAAAUUUCUUCUCCAUCCGUUACCUACCUCGGCGUAAUUCUCAUAAAAACACACGUGCUCUCCCUGCUGAUCAUGUCUGACUGAUCUCUCAAACCCCAACACCUGCUACAUCCUAGGCAUAGUUAGAUACUUUCGCCUUUAAAUGCCUAGAUUUGCCAUCCUAACAAAAUCAUUAUAUAAACUCACAAAAAGAAACCUAGCUGACUCCAUAGAUCCUAAGUCUUUCCCUACUCCUCUUUCUGUUCCUUGAAGACAGCUUUAAAGACUGCCCCAACCCUAGCUCUCCCUGACUUAUCCCAACCCUUUUCAUUACACACAGCCGAAGUGCAA